rnacentral:sRNA from 1 species
GCCAGGUAUGGUGGCCCAUGCCUGUAAUCCCAGCAGCUCAGGAGGCUGAGGCAGGAGGAUCACAAGGUCAAAGCCAGACUCUGGAUCUUAGUGAGGCCUUAAGCAACUUAGCGAGACCCUGUCUUAA